rnacentral:rRNA from 1 species
GACGAACGCUGGCGGCGUGCCUAAUACAUGCAAGUAGAACGCUGAAGAGAGGAGCUUGCUCUUCUUGGCUGAGUUGCGAACGGGUGAGUAACGCGUAGGUAACCUGCCUUGUAGCGGGGGAUAACUAUUGGAAACGAUAGCUAAUACCGCAUAACAAUGGAUGACACAUGUCAUUUAUUUGAAGGGGGCAAUUGCUCCACUACAAGAUGGACCUGCGUUGUAUUAGCUAGUAGGUGAGGUAAUGGCUCACCUAGGCGACGAUACAUAGCCGACCUGAGAGGGUGAUCGGCCACACUGGGACUGAGACACGGCCCAGACUCCUACGGGAGGCAGCAGUAGGGAAUCUUCGGCAAUGGGGGCAACCCUGACCGAGCAACGCCGCGUGAGUGAAGAAGGUUUUCGGAUCGUAAAGCUCUGUUGUAAGUCAAGAACGGGUGUGAGAGUGGAAAGUUCACACUGUGACGGUAGCUUACCAGAAAGGGACGGCUAACUACGU